rnacentral:lncRNA from 1 species
GGCUGUUUCUGAAAGCAAAGAAAAGUAAUUUAUAAAAAUAAUAAUAAUAAUUAAAGUGCUUUACAAAGGUAACACUUUUUUUUCCCAAUUCAAAUUCAGGUUGUCAGAUGCUGAGCCCUGGUGACCUGGGAGACGUGUAGGCUGCCUUCUUCCCACAGACCUUCGAAGGCCAUCCGCAGCUGCGCACGGCACAGCAGUGGAACAAACGGGAGACGAUGGAAACUGGAGGAGAGGAGAUGAGCUGAGCUGGAGUCCACCUGACACCUUCCCUGUCUUCCCGACUGAGGAGGAUGAGAGAUGAAGGCAAGCAGUCAUGUACUUGUGCCCCUAAAUACUAAGAUAAAA